UAGUCCACGCCGUAAACGAUGUCUACUAGCCGUUGGAACCCUUCGUGGUUUUGGUGGCGCAGCUAACGCGAUAAGUAGACCGCCUGGGGAGUACGGCCGCAAGGUUAAAACUCAAAUGAAUUGACGGGGGCCCGCACAAGCGGUGGAGCAUGUGGUUUAAUUCGAUGCAACGCGAAGAACCUUACCAGGCCUUGACAUCCUCAGAACUUUCCAGAGAUGGAUCGGUGUCUUCGGGAACUGAGUGACAGGUGCUGCAUGGCUGUCGUCAGCUCGUGUCGUGAGAUGUUGGGUUAAGUCCCGUAACGAGCGCAACCCUUGUCCCUAGUUGCCAGCACUUCGGGUGGGAACUCUAGGGAGACUGCCGGUGACAAACCGGAGGAAGGUAAGGAUGACGUCAAGUCAGCAUGCCCCUUACGCCCUGGGCUACACACGUGCUACAAUGGUCGUGACAAAGGGUCGCUAAUCUGCAAAGACAUGCUAAUCUCAUAAACACGGCCUCAGUUCGGAUUGC
rnacentral:rRNA from 1 species